AACGCUAGCUACAGGCUUAACACAUGCAAGUCGAGGGGCAGCAUUACGGUAGCUUGCUACUGUAGAUGGCGACCGGCGCACGGGUGAGUAACGCGUAUCCAACCUGCCCAUGACUUGGGGAUAACCUUGCGAAAGCAAGCCUAAUACCCGAUACGCUUCAUAGAUGGCAUCUGAAAUGAAGUAAAGGUUUACGGUUAUGGAUGGGGAUGCGUCCGAUUAGCUUGUUGGCGGGGUAACGGCCCACCAAGGCAUCGAUCGGUAGGGGUUCUGAGAGGAAGGUCCCCCACAUUGGAACUGAGACACGGUCCAAACUCCUACGGGAGGCAGCAGUGAGGAAUAUUGGUCAAUGGAGGCAACUCUGAACCAGCCAAGUAGCGUGCAGGAUGACGGCCCUAUGGGUUGUAAACUGCUUUUAUGCGGGGAUAAAUUGACUCACGUGUGAGUUAUUGCAGGUACCGCAUGAAUAAGGACCGGCUAAUUCCGUGCCAGCAGCCGCGGUAAUACGGAAGGUCCGGGCGUUAUCCGGAUUUAUUGGGUUUAAAGGGAGCGUAGGCCGUUGUUUAAGCGUGUUGUGAAAUGUCCCGGCUCAACCGUGGCACUGCAGCGCGAACUGGACGACUUGAGUGCGCGGAACGUAUGCGGAAUUUGUGGUGUAGCGGUGAAAUGCUUAGAUAUCACGAAGAACUCCGAUUG
rnacentral:rRNA from 1 species